rnacentral:rRNA from 1 species
UACGGAAGGCAGCAGUGGGGAAUAUUGCACAAUGGGCGCAAGCCUGAUGCAGCCAUGCCGCGUGUAUGAAGAAGGCCUUCGGGUUGUAAAGUACUUUCAGUCGUGAGGAAGGUGUUAAGGUUAAUAACCUUAGCAAUUGACGUUAGCGACAGAAGAAGUACCGGCUAACUCCGUGCCAGCAGCCGCGGUAAUACAGAGGGUGCGAGCGUUAAUCGGAAUUACUGGGCGUAAAGGGCACGCAGGCGGUUAAUUAAGUUGGAUGUGAAAUCCCCGGGCUUAACCUGGGAAUGGCAUUCAAGACUGGUUAGCUAGAGUCUUGUAGAGGGGGUAGAAUUCCAUGUGUAGCGGUGAAAUGCGUAGAGAUGUGGAGGAAUACCGGUGGCGAAGGCGGCCCCUGGACAAAGACUGACGCUCAUGUGCGAAAGCGUGGGGAGCAAACAGGGAUUAGAUACC